GCUGGGUGUGGUGGCGCAUGCCUGUAAUCCCAGCUACUCAGGAGACUGAGGCAGGGGAAUUGCUUGAACCCAGGAGGCAGAGGUUGCAGUGAGCCAGGAUCGUGCCACUGCACUCCAGCCUGGGCAACAGAGCAAGACUCUGUCUCAA
rnacentral:SRP_RNA from 1 species